GACGAACGCUGGCGGCGUGCUUAACACAUGCAAGUCGAACGGAAAGGCCCUGCUUGCAGGGUACUCGAGUGGCGAACGGGUGAGUAACACGUGGGUGAUCUGCCCUGCACUUCGGGAUAAGCCUGGGAAACUGGGUCUAAUACCGGAUAGGAGCCAUUUUUAGUGUGAUGGUUGGAAAGUUUUUUCGGUGUAGGAUGAGCUCGCGGCCUAUCAGCUUGUUGGUGGGGUAAUGGCCUACCAAGGCGGCGACGGGUAGCCGGCCUGAGAGGGUGGACGGCCACAUUGGGACUGAGAGGCGGCCCAGACUCCUACGGGAGGCAGCAGUGGGGAAUAUUGCACCAUGGGCGCAAGCCUGAUGCAGCGACGCCGCGUGGGGGAUGACGGCCUUCGGGUUGUAAACUCCUUUCGCUAGGGACGAAGCUUUUUGUGACGGUACCUAGAUAAGAAGCACCGGCUAACUACGUG
rnacentral:rRNA from 1 species